CACGUAGGGUGCGAGCGUUGUCCGGAAUUAUUGGGCGUAAAGAGCUCGUAGGCGGUGUGUCGCGUCGGCCGUGAAAACCUGUGGCUUAACUAUGGGCUUGCGGUCGAUACGGGCAUCACUGGAGUUCGGCAGGGGAGACUGGAAUUCCUGGUGUAGCGGUGAAAUGCGUAGAUAUCUGGAGGAACACCGGUGGCGAAGGCGGGUCUCUGGGCCGAUACUGACGCUGAGGAGCGAAAGCGUGGGGAGCGAACAGG
rnacentral:rRNA from 1 species